GUGCGACGCCGCGGCGGUCCUCCGCGAACGGUAAGUCCGACGAAUGGCGCACGGGUUCCACGAGCAGUGGCGCGUUACCUUCGGUGGCUGCAGCAAACCACGAACUUCGACAACCACCGUGACCCGCAGCAAUCCGAAUUCGGUGACCCCGCGCCCGAUUUUGUGAGACGCAUCGUGUUUGGUGACGUUUUCCGGCCUACCGGCGACGGUCGGUGUUGACGCACAACUAAACGAAUUCAGUUCCGUGAUACCAUCUAUUCGGCGCCAACCCACACUCAAACGAAGUUUGAUUUGAGUUAAUCAUCCAUUUUCGGUAUAGCACCAGCAAGUUCGAGCCUUUUCAAACCCAGUUUUACAGUUCUGAACCCAUUCUACAUCGAUCCAACAAAGACCCAAGUCGUUUCAGCAAACUUCUGGGUCGAGCAAACACUGAGCUAGGAGCAUUAGGAGUGUGCGGAGAAUUCGUUGCCGACCAUGGUGAUGAAGCGGAGGAGACAUGACGAGCGAGAACCAUAGGCUGCGUAGUUACUUUUGCUUAGCUUAGGUUUAGAUGGUUUAAACUUUAUUGCUUGGACAACAAACUACUUGUUCCUAUCUGAUUAAUUGGGAGGUGUCCCACUUGUUGUCUACUUUAAUUUGGAAUAGGUGUUUAUUUUAGUUUCUUCUGUUCAUUGAGUUUGCCUAGUUGGAAUAAUGAAAUUGCUUCAUGGA